rnacentral:rRNA from 1 species
AGAUUGAACGCUGGCGGCAGGCCUAACACAUGCAAGUCGAGCGGCAGCACGGGUACUUGUACCUGGUGGCGAGCGGCGGACGGGUGAGUAAUGCCUAGGAAUCUGCCUGGUAGUGGGGGAUAACGCUCGGAAACGGACGCUAAUACCGCAUACGUCCUACGGGAGAAAGCAGGGGACCUUCGGGCCUUGCGCUAUCAGAUGAGCCUAGGUCGGAUUAGCUAGUUGGUGAGGUAAUGGCUCACCAAGGCGACGAUCCGUAACUGGUCUGAGAGGAUGAUCAGUCACACUGGAACUGAGACACGGUCCAGACUCCUACGGGAGGCAGCAGUGGGGAAUAUUGGACAAUGGGCGAAAGCCUGAUCCAGCCAUGCCGCGUGUGUGAAGAAGGUCUUCGGAUUGUAAAGCACUUUAAGUUGGAGAAGGCAGUUACCUAAUACGUAUCUGUUUUGACGUUUACCGACUAGAAUAAGCACCGGCUAAACUCUGUG